rnacentral:rRNA from 1 species
GAUGAACGCUGGCGGCGUGCCUAAUACAUGCAAGUCGAGCGAACGGACGAGAAGCUUGCUUCUCUGAUGUUAGCGGCGGACGGGUGAGUAACACGUGGAUAACCUACCUAUAAGACUGGGAUAACUUCGGGAAACCGGAGCUAAUACCGGAUAAUAGUUUGAACCGCAUGGUUCAAAAGUGAAAGACGGUCUUGCUGUCACUUAUAGAUGGAUCCGCGCUGCAUUAGCUAGUUGGUAAGGUAACGGCUUACCAAGGCAACGAUGCAUAGCCGACCUGAGAGGGUGAUCGGCCACACUGGAACUGAGACACGGUCCAGACUCCUACGGGAGGCAGCAGUAGGGAAUCUUCCGCAAUGGGCGAAAGCCUGACGGAGCAACGCCGCGUGAGUGAUGAAGGUCUUCGGAUCGUAAAACUCUGUUAUUAGGGAAGAACAUAUGUGUAAGUAACUGUGCACAUCUUGACGGUACCUAAUCAGAAAGCCACGGCUAACUACGUG